AAUAAAGAUUUUUCAUUAAAAAAAAAUUAGAGAAAGAAAGAAGGGAGUAAAAAAAAAAAAGAUCAGGAGCUAAGCUUCUACAAAACCACCAGAAUAGCACAAAGAAACAACAAUGAAAACAUGCUAACUAACCAACUGAAAGAAAACAAGCAACAGAUCUGAAAUCUCAGCAAGCCACAAAAACUAGAAGAAACAAAUUAAAACAAAUGGAUGAGGCAAGAAAGAGCAACUAGCAGUCAAGCAAAAGCCUAGAAGAUUCUGUCAGUUUCUGGCAACCAUGGCUAAUGAAUCCACAGCAUCUAUUCUCUCCUACACUCCAAAGAAUCAUUAAUAUAUGCUCCGAUUUCUCAUCUUCAUUUCAACAUCCCAACUUCAAUAUUCACAGUUUUGAAAACCAUAAAAUUUUCAGGCAAGGAGUAUCCGCCAACACAACCAUGCCUACUUUUACAAAGGAAAAUAAAAUUAUCUAAAUGCUGCAGACAUGCCAGUGGUUUAAAAUGAAAAAUGUUAGCCUUCUCAUUCAGACGUUCAGUACAUCGGUGCCGGAGAGAAAGUGAAGGAAAUGGAAAAGAAAAUGCACAGGAAAAGAAGCCAAACAGAUAUGCCAGUAGAAUUUACAUCUCAAGUACCGGAUGCAAUCACAAAAUCUCACCACAGCCAUUGCCUUCACCAAUCCGAAACACAUAAUUAAAUUAACAAAUGAACAAAUAGAAUAAUAUAAUUGAUAUCAAAAUUUGCAAAGUUUACAUAUAAAUAGCGAGAGCGGAGCUAACCUGC
rnacentral:misc_RNA from 1 species